rnacentral:rRNA from 1 species
UACGUAGGGUGCAAGCGUUAAUCGGAAUUACUGGGCGUAAAGCGUGCGCAGGCGGUGAUGUAAGACAGGUGUGAAAUCCCCGGGCUUAACCAAGGAAGUGCAUCCGAUACUGUUUCGCUUGAGUGUCGGAGGGGAUGGCGGAAUUCCCGGUGUAGAGGUGAAAUUCGUAGAUAUCGGGAGGAACACCUGUGGCGAAGGCGGCCAUCUGGACGACAACUGACGCUGAGACGCGAAAGCGUGGGUAGCAAACAGG